rnacentral:rRNA from 1 species
UACGUAGGGGGCAAGCGUUGUCCGGAAUCAUUGGGCGUAAAGGGUGCGUAGGCGGGUCUUUUAAGUCAGGGGUGAAAUCCUGGAGCUCAACUCCAGAACUGCCUUUGAUGACUGAAGAUCUUGAGUUCGGGAGAGGUGAGUGGAACUGCGAGUGUAGAGGUGAAAUUCGUAGAUAUUCGCAAGAACACCAGUGGCGAAGGCGGACUCACUGGCCCGGUACUGACGGCUGAGGCGCGGAAAGCGUGGGGAGCAAACAGG